AAAGUAAUUUAUACUACUAGUAAUUGAGUGAAGAUAAUUUCUUAGUUUGGGGGCUUGGCAUUCAGUAGGAAUGUUUUAGAAGAGUAAUGGAAAGAUGGGGAGCGAGACGUCCAGGUAGGUACGAACUAACAUGAGGGAUGGACACAAUGUAUAUACAAUCAUACAUGCGCACAGGGAGGGAGUGGCAGAUGGAGAGAUGUAGUUCAGGAGAUAGGGAAUAGUGUUUAUUUUAAAGGAUGGGGAUGCAGUGUUAAAAUUUCAAGGGUAAUUUGAAUUGUGGUUAUUGCUACAUUGUGAAAUAGUGAAUGUUCCUUCUGGUUAAUUGCCAUAAUUACUACAGAAUAUACUCUAGUUAGGUAUCCUGAACAUAAGUUGCCUUAAUUCCUAAGUAUUAUCUAUUUAAGGAUAAUCAUGAUGCUUUUUACCUACAUUAUUUGAUAUGUAUAUGAAAUAUGCCAGAACUGAAUGAUUUUGACUAAAAUUAAAUAUUUUGUGAUUUAUGUAAUGCUGAUUAAAUUUUUCCUUGAACAGGUGUGCAUUUGCAAGCUUUCAUCCUACUCCGGUCCAGUUUAAGUGCCUCUGGGCUGUCAACCAGGAAGUCUUUGGAGGUAAAUGUUUGUGUCCCUGGGCAACCUUUUCUUACUCUGAUCCAGUUAUAGUGCAAGGUACAUGUGUAAUGUGCAGACUACUUUGCAGUACCCCUGGGUCUCUCAAACCUCAACCAAGAAGACUGAGGAUGGGAAGGUGCUUUAUUACACCAUCUACAGGUGAGGUAAAUUUGAUUUUAAAUA